CCUACGGGAGGCAGCAGUGGGGAAUAUUGCACAAUGGGCGCAAGCCUGAUGCAGCCAUGCCGCGUGUGUGAAGAAGGCCUUCGGGUUGUAAAGCACUUUCAGCGGGGAGGAAGGCGGUGAGGUUAAUAACCUCAUCGAUUGACGUUACCCGCAGAAGAAGCACCGGCUAACUCCGUGCCAGCAGCCGCGGUAAUACGGAGGGUGCAAGCGUUAAUCGGAAUUACUGGGCGUAAAGCGCACGCAGGCGGUCUGUCAAGUCGGAUGUGAAAUCCCCGGGCUCAACCUGGGAACUGCAUUCGAAACUGGCAGGCUAGAGUCUUGUAGAGGGGGGUAGAAUUCCAGGUGUAGCGGUGAAAUGCGUAGAGAGCUGGAGGAAUACCGGUGGCGAAGGCGGCCCCCUGGACAAAGACUGACGCUCAGGUGCGAAAGCGUGGGGAGCAAACAGGAUUAGAUACCCCAGUAGUC
rnacentral:rRNA from 1 species